GGAGUGGAGCCUGCGGCUUAAUUUGACUCAACACGGGGAACCUCACCCGGCCCGGACACCGCGAGGAUUGACAGAUUGAGAGCUCUUUCUCGAUUCGGUGGGUGGUGGUGCAUGGCCGUUCUUAGUUGGUGGAGCGAUUUGUCUGGUUAAUUCCGAUAACGAACGAGACUCUAGCCGGUUAAGUAGCCCGAGCGGUUUUUGAUCUUUGCCGUUCAUCCUCGUUCGACCUUUCGCGUCGUCCUUUCCUUUUGUUCGGCCCGUCUCCGUCGUUUUUUUUUCCGUUUCCUCUCGUCUUCCCGAUCGUCCGUCGUCCCGUCGACUCGUUCGACGGGUGCCGACGGUUUUCGUGGUUUUCGAGGGGCUUUCGGUUGAGGGCGGCGGAGCGGUCCGUUCAGGGCGGGUAUACGCUGGGCCGUUUCGAGGUGAAAGCAUAACCGAAGGCCGCCGGCUUUUAAGGAAGCUUCUUAGAGGGACGAGCGGCGUUCAGCCGCCCGAGAUUGAGCGAUAACAGGUCUGUGAUGCCCUUAGAUGUCCGGGGCCGCACGCGCGCUACACUGAAGGGUUCAGCGUGCUAGUUUCUCCCGGGCCGUCAGGCUCGGGGAACCCGUUGAAACCCUUUCGUGCUAGGGACAGGGACUUGCAAUUGUGUCCCUCCAACGAGGAAUUCCCAGUAAGCGCGAGUCAUCAGCUCGCGUUGAUUACGUCCCUGCCCUUUGUACACACCGCCCGUCGCUACUACCGAUUGAACGAUUUAGUGAGGUCUUCGGACCGGUGGUCGUUCCGCGAUCGGGUCAGGAAAACGGUCUCGCGCCCUUUCCUCCCGCGCGGGGUCGGCCGGCCGGGAAGAUGCCC
rnacentral:rRNA from 1 species